AGGCAAGCUCCUUGAGCAGUAAAACAAAUCAAGACAGCCUCAGGAAGUUCCCCAAACUUAUCAGAUUCACCAGGCUCUUUGCUGCCAGAAUGAACAACAAAAGCUGAGUCCCUCAUAGAAGGUAGAAAGCUGAGUGCCAAGAAGACCCAGAUAAGUUGAACUGGAAGAAGUUUAUAGCAGUUGAAGCUCUUAGAAAGGACACUCUCCAACCUGUCGAGCUGUCUGCAGGCUGUGCAGUGUGCUCCAGAUCGCUCACGCUGUCUUUGUGUCAUGUCAGCCUGUGGUACAUCACAGUUGCCUUUGGCCUAUCUGAAUUACUGGAAUGACUCCUUUUGUGUGUUAAAUGAAAUAAAGGUCAUCUGAACACAAGCAAC
ensembl:lncRNA